UGACUAUGUGAUGGUACUGCUUAUUUGGCUAUACAAUUUGAUAUGAUGAGGCUCAUUCAUCACUUGCUGAGGAGCCGAUCCAGCCUACAAGAAUUUCACCUGUGGUGAUCUGAUCAAACAAAUGGGCAACUACUGAAACAAUACCAGUGUGACGCAGAUGGAUUUGAAUGGAGAACAAGAUAAAUACCCAGCAGUGCAAGGGUAAUAAUACUGAACCUUCUGCUAACAGCCACAAUGAAGACUCUCUACAUACUGGUCCUGUCUGCCGCUGUUCUGCUCAUCGCUUCAGAUGCAAGAAGCAUCGAGGAUGGAUCGGAAGAUGAGGACAAGCUUGUGGACACGAUGCUGGAGGAUAAGAGAGAGCUUGAUACCAGAAACAUCCAGGAUGGAUCUGAAGAUGAGAACGAGCUUGUGGAUGCGAUGUUGGAGGUUAAGAGGG